GCCUCCGUAGCUCAGUGGUAGAGCAUGAGAGAACUUUGAUCAGUAGGCCCAGCGCGAUGCUUCAGGGUUACCUUUCGCGCGGUAAUACCAUGGAAGUAUGGGCCCAAUGCUGCAUCUCACAGUCGUAGGUUCAAAUCCUACCGGAGGCU